CCCUUAGAUGUUCUGGGCCGCACGCGCGCUAUACUGAUGCAUUCAACGAGCCUAUCCUUGACCGACAGGUCCGGGUAAUCUUUGAAUCUGCAUCGUGACGGGGAUAGAUUAUUGCAAUUAUUAAUCUUCAACGAGGAAUGCCUAGUAGGCGCAAGUCAUCAGCUUGCGUCGAUUACGUCCCUGCCCUUUGUACACACCGCCCGUCGCUCCUACCGAUUGGGUGUGCUGGUGAAAUGUUCGGAUCGGCCGUUUGUCGCGGUUUCCGCGUCAUGUGGCUGAGAAGUUCAUUAAACCCUCCCACCUAGAGGAAGGAGAAGUCGUAACA
rnacentral:rRNA from 1 species